rnacentral:misc_RNA from 1 species
UAAUGUCUUUACACAUCAAAACAAUAUUAAUAAAUAGUUGAAAGUUAUAAUAGUCAUAGUUGCGUUUUUAUUAAUCCUAUACCAAAUGCACUUAAAGGGUACGCCAGGUGCGAUGCGGUUUCUCCGGCUGCUAAGCUAAAUCAUUUUGUGACAUUGGAUCGCCCAUCCAAACAAGACAGUUGGAUCGAACCCUUAUUUCUGAAUGCUUUGGAAGCUUGGCCCAAUUUCCUUAAAGCUCAUUUUAAAGCCAAGGCCUUCAGUUUGGAGCAUCCGAAUUUUGCACCCUCCCCGCUUGCCAGACAAUUGGAUAUAUGAUGGUGGCCUACAACCACAAGCAGUCAGAUUAUCAUAUGAUUAACGGAUGCAGCUGUGUUCAAUCCAUAUGAUUAAUAACCAUACAACAGACACACCAUACAAAUCAAAUUCUUCAGCCCUAGUAACUUUAUACGGAAUACAAAAACAGCGAUCUCAAAAUUUGAGUUUCAUUACAGAAUGUACACCACAUUUUCAGUGGAAAUAAUAGAGCACCACCAAAUGAAACACAAAGUGAAAGGACCAGCCAAUCCAUGGUAAUCAUCUGGGAAAAAGCAUGCACAGGAAAAAGAACGCUUUUUCAGUUGUUCGACUCAUAGUUGAGCCUGCAAUGUGCUUGACACAAUCGAUAGUCUACUUCAAGAACUAGGUAGAGGAAAUGCUACUUGGUUUUCUUUAGGAGACUUGAUGUUCUAAACUCCGCAUCAUCCCUGACAAAGCACCACCAAAGGUAGGCAAGUGGGAUGGUACUAGCAUGCCAAAGAGCAUGUGCAUCAACAAAUCCCUGAUAUGGUGGGAAGUCAAAUAUUUCCAAGAGCACAGCGAGACCUCCACCCACAACCACCACCCACAGCUUCCACCGGGAUGGAUGACGAGUCAUACCUGCCCAAAUUGUCCAAAUGAGCAGCUGAGCUACACCCAUGGCUCCACAUACUUUCAUGUUCAGGCCUGCAAAAGAAUUGACUGAUGUAAAACUAUUUCACAAGAGACAAUAACAGUCGCCACUUUAUAUUUCCAAUAUCUUCUCUCAAUAUUUACUUUAUUCUAAUUCUAAUUUAUUUUUUUAGUUUUUAAGGAAGUGGGAAAGGGUGUGAGGAGGCUUGACCUGCUUAUGCUAUAUAGCAUUUGCUCAUUUUGCAGGUAGUUCAACUCGUCCAUGAAUAAAGUAAUUCCUUUUUCCAUGGUUAAUAACCAAGCGGUAUAUCGAUUGGACAACGUCAGCAAAAAAAAUAGAUCCCCUAGAUUUGAUAACUCAAUUAUGGUAAUUUUAGAAAAUGGGCAUUUUCAAGUAAUAGACAGAUUUUAAUUGAACACUCAUUUGUCCACAGUAACUUUCUACUGAUGCAAUCUGUAACCAAUGGAAGUUGUGCUGUUAAUAGUUUUAGGUGGGAAUUAACUAUGAUGCAUCAUGCAACAUGAAGAUUGCAAGAUAAAGGAUUACCAUAAUCAAGAUUAUAGAAGUUCAGAUACAUGAUAUGUGUUGUAAGAAAUGCAAUCAAAGGAGCCGCAACCAUGACCCUUGCAGCCUCAUCUCUCACGUUGAAAGCUCGCAAUAUUGCUAAAAUUAGGGUAAACCCAAGUAAAGCCACAGCAGAGGAAUAAUAUAGCUUCUCUGUCAACUCAACAUCUCUGCAAUUAAUUAACUUAGAAAAUGAAAUAGCAGACAUGAGCAAAAGAUGAAAAAUAUAUGAAAGCAUAUAUGCAGAGGCCAUUGCUUACUGCAGUGGUACAAGUUUUGGACUUCCAAUCGUAGAACUGCCAGUUGAAGUCCUCAGAGCAGUAACUUAACGUAAAAAUGAUAAAAAGUGUAUGAAAGUCCCCAUAUUUUCCCCCUCAGAACCCUGUUUUAAGACCAUAAUUGGAUAAUGGCAACUAUGUCUAUAGAUAUACGGUAAAUGUAUGUGCAACUAUAAGUGCACAUAUCAUGCAAGUAUAUAUUAUGUGCAUUUAUAUACUAGUUUUGCAAGUUUAAAUAAAGAUUUGUUCCUCUCCAAAAGAAUGACACUUCAUAUUAAAGUCAGAAUCAAUGUCAACUAUCAUGAACAGCCAAGCAGGGUCAACAUUCAUUUCUCCUAACUUACUGUCCAUCAUAAUGUUGAAUAUCAUGAAUAAGAGAGCCAACAUUCAUUUCUCCCGCCUCUCUCCACUGUAAUGUUUUCUAUCCAAAUAGAAAACACCAAAAUGGGUGGUAAGGCGUGUAAGGAUUAUACCACUUAAACCAAAUUCUUGAAAAUUCAGGAAUAUAAUAAAUACUGAAAAGCCAUUAUUUUGUCAUGAUGUUGGUAAGAAAAUUUAGCCAUUUCAAUACUAUUAUCUACUACCACUACUGCUUACCGACUGUGGAAAACAGCACUCCAGAACCAAGAGUUCAUUGAUAGGAUCCCAUAGAUGUGCCACAAGCCAGUAUAUUCAUAAUAAGUCUUCUUAUUUGGCCUCAACGGCAGCGUGUAGUAAAUAAGGAUGAAAAAGGAUACCCAACCAUGAAACUGAAUGGCGAGAUUUAGAGCAGAGAGAGCAACAGAAAUAGGUUCCUGAGAAGCACAAACACAUUUACUUGAAAUAGCUGGGUAAUGCAUUCAAUUAAGUUCUGUGGUACAUUGAUAAAGUAAUGACUUCAAAUAUUAUAUAAAAAAAAACCUGGAUUCCAUUAACACGUUGAAAUGCCCAUUUCCCAUGAUACUUGACAGGCUUAUCACCAAGUUUCUGUCUUUCUUCCUCCCUGGAAAUCAUGCAAUGAUAUCGACAAUCACUGCGACAGUCCCACUGUUUCCAUUGCAGAUAAAGUGGCUCUUGAAGAUACCAUGGUCCAUCAAUAGGUUUUCCAUCGGAUGAGAAUUUACAAUGUUGGAAGCAUUUCCUGCCCACACAUCCAGUUUUCUCACAUUGCUCCACACAUGCCCUGAUAAAUGAGUAACAUUAAAAUGAUAGAAAUAGUAACAGGUGACAAAGUCAAACAGCUAGGAUCAGAACAAUAUACCAAUAACAAACAUCUCCUUAAUUAGUCAAUUGUCUAACACACACUUGCUAAGUGGUUAUUUCAUCAUUACUUCCAAAAGGGGCCCUACAAACAGUUGAUUCGUCAAUCCACAAGCAAAGCUUCAAGCCUUGAAUUCCAACCACAUUAAACUAAUCUCGUGGUUGUACGGCCAUUCAAAGUCAAUGCACCAGAAGUAAGGGUUUCUAUAAAGUGAAACUACCCAGAAAAGUCUGCUAAGUGAAAAACACCAUUUCUUCCCCACAGUACUUAAGCCAUGGAUCAUGGAAAGAUAAGCAAAGAAAUGAUAUUUCCACAUAGCUGAACAAUAAGCAUAUGUCUGUGUUGCUGUUACCACAAAAACCAAAAUUUAACCCUCGUCUACAGAAGAUCAUUGCAAUGAAAUCUUUUGAAUUGUAGUAAAUGUGAGAUAUUUAUAUUUGUAAACAUGUUGUCUGCUUUGAAAAUUACUUCAAAGGAUAAAAGAUUUAGUCUUCCCAAAAUUAAAUGACUACACUUGAAGUGAAAAUGAGAGUAAAAAGGGGUUGUUGCUGCUAGAAAUUUGAUGAACUUGCUUGAAAUUGAAAAUGCUUUCAUCAGCUGACAAUACAUAUAUCAUCAUGAUUUCUAUCACUCAUAUCCUUCGGCUUGCCUCACAUUUAGACGACCUUCCACUCAUGCCGAAUCCGUAAAAAAAGUAAAAACAAGACAAAAACCACAAAUAUUAAUGGAAACUACAUGACUAAAGAAGCCACAACCAAGUCAACUGAAAAUGACUAAAUAUGGAACUAAAAAUUUGCCAAUUCAUAGACUGUUUAUUCAAACUCCAUGUUCCCACCCAAACUAUAUUCAUAUUAAAUAAUUCCAAUUCGCAAUCAAUUCUCACUGUUGAAUAACUUUAAGCACAUAUCAAACUAGUGAUUCUUUCUAAUCCACCAAUCUAUACACAAACUUAAAAAAUACAGCUAAUUUAGCAGGCAUUUUCUUCCACAUCUAUUUUUUUAGGUAAUUUAAGAACUUAUAAUUCCAUUUCAAUUACACCGGAAAAUGCAGGAACACAACGUUCAACUCGUCAAUCAAAACAGUAGUGACCUUCUAAAACUUAAUUUACAUUCCAAACAUCAUAUUAAGCUCAAAUUACAGAUUCAAAUACAUCAAAUAUAGAACCAAAAAAAAAAUCACGAAAAAAAAGGGAAAAACAAAAACAUGAAAAAGGGAAACCACA